UACAAAUAGAGUUGCGAAAAAAUAUUUCGAUAAAAAAAACGAUAGAGCUGCUACCAUGGCUUGCUCAAAGCCGUGACAUAAAUCCUUUUGCGCGUUUAUGACAAUAUUUGGAUGAUAAGCUCAAACCAUCUUCUUGUCGUUCUCAUGAGAUUUUUGAUAGAUUGAAGGAUUCUUAAGAAACCAUACUAUAAUCGCCUCUUCAGAACUUUGUAGACAGCAGGCCCGACGUCUUUUGGGUGUAAUGAACGGUAAAAGUGGCAAAACUAAAUAUUGAAGCUCUAAUUGUAAGCUAACUUUAUAAUAUUUAGAAUAUAUGAACAUACAUCGCACGCUCGAAGACCUGAACGCUCUAAAACGUGAAGACGGUUUUUUGUGCAUUGGCUAUUCUAAAACGUGAACAAGGCAAGAAAGCUCUAAAACAUGAACAAAAAGCGUUUAAAUUUUUGAAAGUAUUUUGCUCCUACCUUAAAUAAAAAUUAGUUCUAAGGAAACUGUGUACUUGACGUUAAAAGAAAAAACUGAAAUUCUCGGUCAUUUACGUUUUAACGAAGAAAUAUAAUGUUUGCUAAAUCCACAAUUUGUGGCAUUAAAACCAAAAUCAAACAACACAUUUCCGGGCCUGGAAAAAGAAAAACUCUGCAUACUUCAGAGCCUCCCAAAAUGGAGAAAUAUUGUUAACUAAAUUUAUCCGUAUGCGAAAUAAGAACUAGCCAGUAAGUUCUAUAAUGGUGGAAGAAAAAACCUGCGGCAUUCGACUUCUUCAAAUAUCAGGCAAGAAUUUUUCUUCAUAGCCUCAGCUAAACACAAAAUCUUGAAAAAUGGAAAGGCAAAGAAUACACGCAGUUUUAAAAAUCGAAUCGCCCAAUCGAAUACAAAAGCUCAAAAUCCGCCUGGUGAAAUCAAUUUUAAAAUUGUCAAUUAAAGUUAAAAGUGAUGUAAAUGUACUGAGACGAAUGAGCUGUAUUUCAAUUAUUAGAAAAACCGAAGUACAAAAAGGAAACUGAUUUUUUAACAGAUUUACAUUUCCUCUCACACCUUUUAAGAACAAACAAUAAUAAAAUGUGAACUUAAAUGAGUAAACUUA